GAGAGCGAACGUGCCCAUCACCCCUAAAGGUUCCUGGGCCUUUGGAAAUGCCUCCCUCUGCUGCUCCCAACGUAGCCAAUCAGAGCUCAUGACACGGUAGGUGUACGGCUCAUCUUUCCGUUUCCUUAACAGUCUCUUGAAGGAACUGGGCUGGAAGGAG